rnacentral:rRNA from 1 species
UACGUAGGGGGCAAGCGUUGUCCGGAAUCAUUGGGCGUAAAGAGCGUGUAGGCGGCCCGAUAAGUCUGCCGUGAAAGUCCAGGGCUCAACCCUGGAAUGCCGGUGGAAACUGUCGGGCUGGAGUCCGGAAGAGGCGAGUGGAAUUCCUGGUGUAGCGGUGAAAUGCGCAGAUAUCAGGAGGAACACCAAUGGCGAAGGCAGCUCGCUGGGACGGUACUGACGCUGAGACGCGAAAGCGUGGGGAGCAAACAGG